rnacentral:SRP_RNA from 1 species
GCCCGGCGUGGUGGCGCGCGCCUGUAGUCCCAGCUACUCGGGAGGCUGAGGCAGGUGGAUCGCUUGAGCCCAGGAGUUCUGGGCUAUAGUGCGCUAUGCCGAUCGGGUGUCCGCACUAAGUUCGGCAUCAAUAUGGUGACCUCCCGGGAGCGGGGGACCACCAGGUUGCCUAAGGAGGGGUGAAGUAGGAGCACACUGUUCACGACACUGCAUAGUUUCUGAGUAUGAUGCAAGGCAGCCGGCUCUCCUCCCAGCUCUUU